UACGUAGGGUGCAAGCGUUGUCCGGAUUUAUUGGGCGUAAAGGGCUCGUAGGCGGUUCGGUAAGUCCGCUGUGAAAUCUCUGGGCUCAACUCAGAGUCUGCUGUGGAAACUGCCGUGCUUGAGUGUGGGAGAGGUGAGUGGAAUUCCCGGUGUAGCGGUGAAAUGCGUAGAUAUCAGGAGGAACACCGGUGGUGUAGACGGCUUUCUGGACCGGAACUGACGCUGAGACACGAAAGCGUGGGGAGCAAACAGG
rnacentral:rRNA from 1 species